CCCCCGCCCCCGGCACUGCCACGUGCAACACCCAGGCCUGCUACCACUUCUGCAUCCGUCCAGAUGCUCUGGUUGCAGACCCAGGUCUGUCCUCUGGUGUGUCUCGCGCUCAGACAAGCAGAUACACCCACGGCUGAUGCAACGGACACAGUUGUGCAUCUGUGCUAACCAGACCUCCCCAAGCUGAAACACCUGCUCAACCACGUAGACUAAUUUUUCUCCUUCUGACACCAGCCGUGUAACUCCUUAGGAGACAGCGUUCCUGUGAGGGGUCACAAUGACCCGCCACUCGCCUUGAUGAAGCCGCUGAAAGCACCCCCUCCACGAAGAUGGCAUCAGGACAAACUGACCUUCCAGAGCUUGGGGCCCUGUGCCCCCCGGGCCCCAGGCCUCUCCCGUCCACGUGGUCCAUCAGGGAGGCUGCUUCCUGCUGAGUCACGCCCCCGGCCAACUUCAGCCCAUCCAGCCCAUGCCUGAGCCCGGGGCCGGGGGGGAUGGUGUUGGGGGGCCCUGGGCUCCAGGUAAGUGCGGCAUCAAUGUCCGUGUCAGGGCUGGGGCUGGGACAAAGUGUCCUUCCUGGGAGAGCCCGUGACACGCCCACCCUCGUGAUCCCAGCUAUACCACGGGACCCUCCCCUGGAAUCCCUGGCACCCCCCACCAGGUCCUCCCCGACAGCUGUGGGCACAGAGGGGGGCUGGCCGGGGGGGGGCGGGGCCCAAGGGAGGAGGGAGGGUUUCCAGCUUCACCCUGACCCGGAGGGUGUUCCUGAGGACGGCGGCCCCCGCGACAGGAAACGGUGCCCACCAGCCCGCAGGGGACCAGACAACACCCGGAGUGCCAUCUUCGGGCCUGACAGGCUUCGGACGGCCAGAAAACUGCGUGGCCUCCGGGUGCCUGUGCCUGCACUGUUGUCUCGGUUUAAAUAGUCUCCUGGUGAACGGGACCACCACCCUGCAGAGAGCUUCGGCCGGAUGUCAGAGCCCGCUCUGCUCACACACCUUGACCCAGAAACUCCAUUUUUGGGAUCCGCUCUAAGGAAAUGCCACACCAAGACCCUUCUACACACAAGGGAAGGGGCCUAACGCCUACUCAUCUGAGAUUCAAGACACUACUCCGCAGAUUCUGCAGACCCGGUGGGGGAGCCAUCCCAGCCUUUCUGCGGGGUUUCCCACACCGCUGGGGCCGCUUCCCGGGUGCCAAGCACCAGGGCCUGGGCAGGGCCAAGGUCUUUGACAGUUGCUGGGACUCCGGAGCUGGAGGGGCAGUAGGCAGCAGUGGGUUGCACCUCGGCCUUACAGCCCCGGACAUACCUGGCUUCUCUGAGUCCAGCACUGGCCUGGCAGUGCCAAGAGGCUGGAGGUGGGGCACCCCUCUGCUGGGGUGGGCACAGCAGACUAGGACACACUAUACCAUUAAGUCAAACGUGUUAGCUGCCAGUGAUAUUAGCUGUGAUUCCUACUUUUUUCUUCCUACAUCUCUGCAUUUUCUAGAUU